GUAAAAUACUUAGAAGACGUGGUUCGGAAUUCACGUUAAGCAUGUGGGCCCUACUGUUAGGUCAUUACAAUACCAUGUAAAAGUACCUUCACUAGCUAUAGCAGCAAAUGGUAGCCGAAUCUGUCAC